rnacentral:sRNA from 1 species
ACUAUCUUCUGUUUGAGUCAUUACAUCACAAGUACUCCACAUGUUUUUUUCUUCUUCUUU